UGGUAUUUUAGAAGGAGAUCCUCAU
rnacentral:piRNA from 1 species